rnacentral:snRNA from 1 species
NNNNNUACAUGGUCACGAAAGGUGAUUUUCCCAGGACGAGACUCACCCAUUUCAUUCCAGAUGUCCUGACCGUGCGAUUUCCCCAAAUGUGAGAACUCGACUGCAUAAUUUGUGGUAGUAGAGGACUGUGUUUGCGCUCUCCCCUG